UUUAAUAUAGUUCUAGCUUUCGACUAUGUUUUAGUCAUCAAGGAUUCCUGAUGAUGACUAAAACAUAGUCGAAAGCUAGAACUGUAUUAA